rnacentral:rRNA from 1 species
GAAACCCGGUGAUCUAGCCAUGGGCAGGUUGAAGGUUGGGUAACACUAACUGGAGGACCGAACCGACUAAUGUUGAAAAAUUAGCGGAUGACUUGUGGCUGGGGGUGAAAGGCCAAUCAAACCGGGAGAUAGCUGGUUCUCCCCGAAAGCUAUUUAGGUAGCGCCUCGUGAAUUCAUCUCCGGGGGUAGAGCACUGUUUCGGCAAGGGGGUCAUCCCGACUUACCAACCCGAUGCAAACUGCGAAUACCGGAGAAUGUUAUCACGGGAGACACACGGCGGGUGCUAACGUCCGUCGUGAAGAGGGAAACAACCCAGACCGCCAGCUAAGGUCCCAAAGUCAUGGUUAAGUGGGAAACGAUGUGGGAAGGCCCAGACAGCCAGGAUGUUGGCUUAGAAGCAGCCAUCAUUUAAAGAAAGCGUAAUAGCUCACUGGUCGAGUCGGCCUGCGCGGAAGAUGUAACGGGGCUAAACCAUG